CAGGCUUACCACAUGCAAGUCGAGGGGCAGCAUGGUCUUAGCUUGCUAAGGCCGAUGGCGACCGGCGCACGGGUGAGUAACACGUAUCCAACCUGCCGUCUACUCUUGGACAGCCUUCUGAAAGGAAGAUUAAUACAAGAUGGCAUCAUGAGUCCGCAUGUUCACAUGAUUAAAGGUAUUCCGGUAGACGAUGGGGAUGCGUUCCAUUAGAUAGUAGGCGGGGUAACGGCCCACCUAGUCUUCGAUGGAUAGGGGUUCUGAGAGGAAGGUCCCCCACAUUGGAACUGAGACACGGUCCAAACUCCUACGGGAGGCAGCAGUGAGGAAUAUUGGUCAAUGGGCGAGAGCCUGAACCAGCCAAGUAGCGUGAAGGAUGACUGCCCUAUGGGUUGUAAACUUCUUUUAUAAAGGAAUAAAGUCGGGUAUGGAUACCCGUUUGCAUGUACUUUAUGAAUAAAGAUCGGCUAACUCCGUGCCAGCAGCCGCGGUAAUACGGAGGAUCCGAGCGUUAUCCGGAUUUAUUGGGUUUAAAGGGAGCGUAGAUGGAUGUUUAAGUCAGUUGUGAAAGUUUGCGGCUCAACCGUAAAAUUGCAGUUGAUACUGGAUAUCUUGAGUGCAGUUGAGGCAGGCGGAAUUCGUGGUGUAGCGGUGAAAUGCUUAGAUAUCACGAAGAACUCCGAUUGCGAAGGCAGCCUGCUAAGCUGCAACUGACAUUGAGGCUCGAAAGUGUGGGUAUCAAACAGGAUUAGAUACCCUGGUAGUCCACACGGUAAACGAUGAAUACUCGCUGUUUGCGAUAUACUGCAAGCGGCCAAGCGAAAGCGUUAAGUAUUCCACCUGGGGAGUACGCCGGCAACGGUGAAACUCAAAGGAAUUGACGGGGGCCCGCACAAGCGGAGGAACAUGUGGUUUAAUUCGAUGAUACGCGAGGAACUUACCCGGGCUUAAAUUGCAGAUGAAUUACGGUGAAAGCCGUAAGCCGCAAGGCAUCUGUGAAGGUGCUGCAUGGUUGUCGUCAGCUCGUGCCGUGAGGUGUCGGCUUAAGUGCCAUAACGAGCGCAACCCUUGUUGUCAGUUACUAACAGGUCCCGCUGAGGACUCUGACAAGACUGCCAUCGUAAGAUGUGAGGAAGGUGGGGAUGACGUCAAAUCAGCACGGCCCUUACGUCCGGGGCUACACACGUGUUACAAUGGGGGGUACAGAGGGCCGCUACCACGCGAGUGGAUGCCAAUCCCCAAAACCUCUCUCAGUUCGGACUGGAGUCUGCAACCCGACUCCACGAAGCUGGAUUCGCUAGUAAUCGCGCAUCAGCCACGGCGCGGUGAAUACGUUCCCGGGCCUUGUACACACCGCCCGUCAAGCCAUGGGAGCCGGGGGUACCUGAAGUGCGUA
rnacentral:rRNA from 1 species